GGCGAGAUGGUCUAGUGGUAAUUCAGGACGAUGUGUUGCAAGUGCGUAAAGCCAGGAUCGAUUCCUGGUUGUGCCG